rnacentral:snRNA from 1 species
GGAUGUGAGGUGAUCUGGUUUUAACAUCUGCCACCCAUUGAUCACCAGGGCUGAUUUAACUUAUCUGGUUGGUUGGCUCAAUGGAUAGCCAAUUCCUUCCUCACAGCUCCAUGUGUGUUCCCCCUGAAGCUGCGUAUUUAUUGGAAAUGGCCACCUUUCCUGAUUAAGGACUGUCCUUCAGUCAAGAGUGUAUGAGUAGCCUGUGCCCUGUUACUAGAACCUCCAAAAUGUUCUGAAGGUCAUUUGUAGAAGGGUUGCCCAGGGAAACGAAUCCAGUGACACUUACAUGUAUAUAGAGAGGGGUUUUAUAU